ACACGGGGGCUGCUCAGUACGGCGAGUGAAGCGGCAAGAGCUCAAAUUUGAAAUCUGGCCCCUCCGGGGUCCGAGUUGUAAUUUGGAGAGGAUGCUUCGGGCUCGGUCCCCAUCUAAGUGCCCCUGGAACGGGCUGUCAUAGAGGGUGAGAAUCCCGUAUGGGAUGGGCGGCCGUGCCCGUGUGAAGCUCCUUCGACGAGUCGAGUUGUUUGGGAAUGCAGCUCUAAGCGGGUGGUAAAUUUCAUCUAAAGCUAAAUACUGGCCGGAGACCGAUAGCGCACAAGUAGAGUGAUCGAAAGAUGAAAAGCACUUUGAAAAGAGAGUUAAACAGCACGUGAAAUUGUUGAAAGGGAAGCGUUGGCCACCAGACGCGCCCGGGGGGGCUCAGCCGGCACGUGUGCCGGUGUACUCCCCCCCGGACGGGUCAGCAUCGGUUUGGGCGGUCGCUGAAAGGCUCUGGGAAUGUAGCACCCUCCGGGGUGCCUUAUAGCCCAGGGUGUCAUGCGGCCCGCCUGGACCGAGGUUCGCGCUUCGGCGAGGAUGCUGGCGUAAUGGUGGUCAACGGCCCGUCUUGAAAACGGGACCAAA
rnacentral:rRNA from 1 species